AUGGUGUAUCGAGAGCUUCAAGCUUCGAUAUUUUGGUAGUUUCUGUUCUUUCUACCGUAACAGGUAGAAGCAGCUCAUGGGAUAUUUUAUAUUCCAGGGAGCCUGCAUCUCUUAACUAAUUUUUCGUUCUCUUUUCCCUCGACCUCGAGUCUCACUGUUGUCCACGCGAGCGUCGUUGUUACAGGGUGCCAGUCCAGCACUGUUCGCGAAAUCGCCUACAGAUCGCAAACCCGGUGUCCGCUGCGGUUUCCUCGGGUUUUCGUUUUCGUCCGGGGUGACGGGUUUCACGGUUAGCCACAGUCAAAGUCCCGGGUGCGGUGGCAGUUGCUAUUCGCAACGAUGGCUUCUCGGAAGAGUCGACCGCUCCCGGCACACGGACUCGAAGUCGGACGUGCGCUGCUUCUAAACCUGCGCGCGACUUGACAAGGCCUCAGUUCUGUCUCCUUCCAAGUUAAGCGUCCUGAGCACUAGUCCAAGAAACUUGUCCGCUAGACUAGGGUACAAGCUGCUCAUCGCGACUGGGCGAAGCAGACACCUCUGAAGGUGUCCGAGUGCUUCGCGUUUGACGCACACGUUUCCGACGGUCACCUGGCCUGCGCAGCUGUUCAAAUGUAGUAGAAGGCCUAGAGAGCAUCGCGCUGGAGAAGCCGCAGUGUGGAACCGUGCCCGGGAGCAGGCUUCCUGGCUAUCGCUGGCAGUCCAGCGUCGUUCGCGUCGGGUACGGCGCCUCAGUACUUUAAGAGCGGGCUAUUCGCAUCAAUAAGCUUCCGCCCAGGAGGCAGUUUUGCUCGUCACCAUCACUCUAAGCGGAAAAGUUUGAUCAGUGUUCUUCAAUGCCGGCAUAAGAAAAGCCUUCGCUUGACGCCUGUCCAAUGGUUUGCUGGCGGGGGCCACGGCACGAGCGCUCCUCAAUAGCAUGGACUUGCUGCCUUCGUUUCUUUCUACGAAUUAGUUUUCAUGAACCGAAACGGAUUUCCCCGGAAACGCGACGGCUGCUGGUGAAUAGCGGCGCCGCCCCCCCCCCCCCCAGUUAUCUGGAUGCAGCUCUAUGGUUGCACCAGACUCUGACUGUUGGCUCCUGAGCCUCAGAGACGUGAUUCAUGAACACAGCAGCUGUCAGGGUACCGCGCUCGUUGCGCCUCUAUAGUUGCCAUGCGGAGACGUAGCGGCUUUUCGUAUUCAUUGUGGGCGUGAGCCCGAUGCAAUCAAUAGCGGAGUUCCCUGCAACACGCUCACGGACUGCAUCAAUACUCGCAAAGACCAACUUGAAGAUGAGGAUCAUGAACGCUUUCAAAUCGUUUCUAGGUCGAUCACGAGGUGCUGUUGACGAUACAUCAGGCUCGCAGGAACGCCUGGGUGUACCGGAAUGUCGCGGGCUCCGAUGCUUCUGCGAGUCAAAGCGGACGCGGUGCACCUCUGACACCGCUCACUGCUUGUCCGCGUGACGUACCGUUGGCGACUCGUGUGCUAUGUAUUUCAAGUCGUUCACAGGUUUGCGGGUAUGCGCGUGUGCAGACGGCGGAUCCUCAAGCAUGCGGCACCGCUUGAGCUCCCGUCCAAAGACUUAAACUACAUCAAG